CCUACGGGUGGCAGCAGUGGGGAAUAUUGGACAAUGGGGGCAACCCUGAUCCAGCCAUGCCGCGUGUGUGAAGAAGGCCCUCGGGUUGUAAAGCACUUUCAGUGAGGAAGAACGCCUGGUGGUUAAUACCCAUCAGGAAAGACAUCACUCACAGAAGAAGCACCGGCUAACUCCGUGCCAGCAGCCGCGGUAAUACGGAGGGUGCGAGCGUUAAUCGGAAUUACUAGGCGUAAAGCGCGCGUAGGUGGCUUGAUAAGCCGGUUGUGAAAGCCCCGGGCUCAACCUGGGAACGGCAUCCGGAACUGUCAAGCUAGAGUGCAGGAGAGGAAGGUAGAAUUCCCGGUGUAGCGGUGAAAUGCGUAGAGAUCGGGAGGAAUACCAGUGGCGAAGGCGGCCUUCUGGACUGACACUGACACUGAGGUGCGAAAGCGUGGGUAGCAAACAGGAUUAGAUACCCCGGUAGUC
rnacentral:rRNA from 1 species